AUGCUAAAGGUUUUAGGCUUUAUCCUGUGUGGUCUCCUGAUGUCUUUGCGAAGUUCAAAUGCAGAAAGCACUAUCAUCUCUCAAGAAGCAUAUGAGAAGGCUUGUGAAGAUUCAACGAAGGGCCUUUUUGAGUCUGAAAUGAGCAAAUUCACAUUCCCAGAAUUAAAAGUGGAUUCAAUAGCUAUCAAAGGGUUGUACGUCAUGAAUGUUACAAUUCUUCCAAUAAAGGCCAAGUGCGUCCCUGGAGUUGGGGUCAAGGUGUAUUUUUCUGCUCUUCUGAGUAUCUUUGGUACUUGUGGAAAUGUCCUUGUGCCUGGUGUGGUCACUGGCACUGUAAGGUUAAACUGCAGUGCACUGAUUCUGCUGGCAAACUACUCACCAGACAACAGUUCUGUCGGUGUCAGGGACUACACAUGUGAUGCAAGUCUGAUAGAUGUCAAAAUAAGCUUGAGCAAUGUUGACGUAAGCGUGAAAGCCGCAUUAAGAAACAACGUCCUGUUUGAGUUAAAAAACAAGGUACAAUUUCUGAUUACGUUCUCUAGAGCCCUGAGAAAUAAGAGAGAGUUUCUCUCACUCAGCUCCUCCAGGCAUAGACAGGGAGCAGACACUUCGUAA
rnacentral:lncRNA from 1 species